rnacentral:rRNA from 1 species
GAUGAACGCUGGCGGCGUGCCUAAUACAUGCAAGUCGAGCGAACGGACGAGAAGCUUGCUUCUCUGAUGUUAGCGGCGGACGGGUGAGUAACACGUGGAUAACCUACCUAUAAGACUGGGAUAACUUCGGGAAACCGGAGCUAAUACCGGAUGAUAUUUUGAACCGCAUGGUUCAAAAGUGAAAGACGGUCUUGCUGUCACUUAUAGAUGGAUCCGCGCUGCAUUAGCUAGUUGGUAAGGUAACGGCUUACCCAGGCAACGAUGCAUAGCCGACCUGAGAGGGUGAUCGGCCACACUGGAACUGAGACACGGUCCAGACUCCUACGGGAGGCAGCAGUAGGGAAUCUUCCGCAAUGGGCGAAAGCCUGACGGAGCAACGCCGUGUGAGUGAUGAAGGUCUUCGGAUCGUAAAACUCUGUUAUUAGGGAAGAACAUAUGUGUAAGUAACUGUGCACAUCUUGACGGUACCUAAUCAGAAAGCCACGGCUAACUACGUG